ACAGAGGGUGCGAGCGUUAAUCGGAAUUACUGGGCGUAAAGCGCGCGUAGACGGUUUUGUAAGUCAGAUGUGAAAUCCCCGGGCUCAACCUGGGAACUGCAUUUGAAACUGCAUGGCUAGAGUACGGUAGAGGGAAGCGGAAUUUCAGGUGUAGCGGUGAAAUGCGUAGAUAUCUGAAGGAACACCAGUGGCGAAAGCGGCUUCCUGGACCAGUACUGACGUUCAUGUGCGAAAGCGUGGGGAGCAAACAGGAUUAGAUACCCUGGUAGUCCACGCCAUAAACGAUGACAACUAGAUGUCGGGAGGGUCUGCCUCUCGGUGUCGCAGCUAACGCGUUAAGUUGUCCGCCUGGGGAGUACGGCCGCAAGGUUG
rnacentral:rRNA from 1 species